rnacentral:rRNA from 1 species
GAUGAACGCUGGCGGCGUGCCUAAUACAUGCAAGUCGAGCGAACGGACGAGAAGCUUGCUUCUCUGAUGUUAGCGGCGGACGGGUGAGUAACACGUGGAUAACCUACCUAUAAGACUGGGAUAACUUCGGGAAACCGGAGCUAAUACCGGAUGAUAUUUUGAACCGCAUGGUUCAGAGGUGAAAGACGGUCUUGCUGUCACUUAUAGAUGGAUCCGCGCUGCAUUAGCUAGUUGGUAAGGUAACGGCUUACCAAGGCAACGAUGCAUAGCCGACCUGAGAGGGUGAUCGGCCACACUGGAACUGAGACACGGUCCAGACUCCUACGGGAGGCAGCAGUAGGGAAUCUUCCGCAAUGGGCGAAAGCCUGACGGAGCAACGCCGCGUGAGUGAUGAAGGUCUUCGGAUCGUAAAACUCUGUUAUUAGGGAAGAACAUAUGUGUAAGUAACUGUGCACAUCUUGACGGUACCUAAUCAGAAAGCCACGGCUAACUACGUG